GUUUAUGGCCACACUACCCUGAAUGUGCCUGAUCUUGUCUGAUCUCAGAAGCUAAGCAGGGUAGGGCCUCGUUAGUACUUGGAUGUAAGAAAAUUUAAAAAAUUGUACAUAGAAACA
rnacentral:rRNA from 1 species